CGCAGCCUUGUCAAAUUCGGUGCCCGCCUCUGCGUGGUGGGGACCGGCCCAGUGGCUGCCACAGCAUCAGGCCGUGCCUCAUGGGCCCCGUGUCCCUGCCGUGGGGCCGCGGGGACACAAGCAGGCCACGCACAGCG